rnacentral:rRNA from 1 species
AGAGUUUGAUCAUGGCUCAGGACGAACGCUGGCGGCGUGCCUAACACAUGCAAGUCGAGCGAUGAAGUUUCCUUCGGGAAACGGAUUAGCGGCGGACGGGUGAGUAACACGUGGGUAACCUGCCUCAUAGAGGGGAAUAGCCUUCCGAAAGGGAGAUUAAUACCGCAUAACAUUGCAGUUUCGCAUGAAACAGCAAUUAA